UUUUAAGGAGUUUUGUCUGAGGAGUACGACGUUGUUUUGAUGAAAAAACAAGUUGGUUCCAAGCUUUUGGAAAUUUGAGGAGUUUAAUUGGUUCCAUUGAUAACAUUUCUUUGUUAUUUUCUACUUGAUCAUGACAAUAGCCAUAACCAAUUGAAUAAGACCAAUAGAGAAGAGGAAUUGAUGAGAAGAUUGAUAAAAAAACAAGAAUAGAACAAGAAGAUCGGAAAUUGAAA
rnacentral:misc_RNA from 1 species